rnacentral:rRNA from 1 species
CCCUUAGAUGUUCUGGGCCGCACGCGCGCUACACUGAAGGGAUCAGCGUGUUUUCCCUUCCCGAGAGGGACGGGUAACCCGCUGAACCCCCUUCGUGGUAGGGAUCGGAGCUUGCAAUUGUUCUCCGUGAACCAGGAAUUCCCAGUAAGCGCAAGUCAUAAGCUUGCGUUGAUUACGUCCCUGCCCUUUGUACACACCGCCCGUCGCUACUACCGAUUGAACGUUUUAGUGAGGUAUUUGGACUGGGCCUUGGGAGGUUUCGGCCUCCCUUGUUGCUCGGAAAGACUCCCAAACUUGAGCGUUUGGAGGAAGUAAAAGUCGUAACA